rnacentral:rRNA from 1 species
AUUGAACGCUGGCGGCAGGCCUAACACAUGCAAGUCGAACGGUAGCACAGAGGAGCUUGCUCCUUGGGUGACGAGUGGCGGACGGGUGAGUAAUGUCUGGGAAACUGCCCGAUGGAGGGGGAUAACUACUGGAAACGGUAGCUAAUACCGCAUAACGUCGCAAGACCAAAGAGGGGGACCUUCGGGCCUCUUGCCAUCGGAUGUGCCCAGAUGGGAUUAGCUAGUAGGUGGGGUAACGGCUCACCUAGGCGACGAUCCCUAGCUGGUCUGAGAGGAUGACCAGCCACACUGGAACUGAGACACGGUCCAGACUCCUACGGGAGGCAGCAGUGGGGAAUAUUGCACAAUGGGCGCAAGCCUGAUGCAGCCAUGCCGCGUGUAUGAAGAAGGCCUUCGGGUUGUAAAGUACUUUCAGCGAGGAGGAAGGCGUUGUGGUUAAUAACCGCAACGAUUGACGUUACUCGCAGAAGAAGCACCGGCUAACUCCGUGCCAGCAGCCGCGGUAAAAGGG